rnacentral:rRNA from 1 species
CUCAGAACGAACGCUGGCGGCAAGCCUAACACAUGCAAGUCGAACGGACAAUUGCUUAUAACCUUUUGGUUAUAAAUAAUUGUUAGUGGCAGACGGGUGAGUAAUGCGUAGGAAUCUACCUAGUAGUAUGGAAUAGCCAUUAGAAAUGAUGGGUAAUACUGAUAAUCCCUGCGGGGGAAAGAUUUAUCGCUAUUAGAUGAGCCUACGUUAGAUUAGCUAGUUGGUAAGGUAAUGGCUUACCAAGGCUAUGAUCUAUAGCUGGUCUGAGAGGACGAUCAGCCACACUGGAACUGAGAUAC